CCUACGGGAGGCAGCAGUGAGGAAUAUUGGUCAAUGGGCGCGAGCCUGAACCAGCCAAGUAGCGUGAAGGAUGACUGCCCUACGGGUUGUAAACCUCUUUUAUAAAGGAAUAAAGUGAGGCUCGUGAGCCCUUUUGUAUGUUCUUUAUGAAUAAGGAUCGGCCAACUCCGGGCCAGCAGCCUCCGUAAUACGGAGGAUACGAGCGUUUAUCGGAUUUUUUGGGUUUAAAAGGAGCGUUGAGGGGUUGUUAAGUCAGUUGUGAAAGUUUGCGGCUCAACCGUAGAAGUGCAAUUGAUACUGGCAGCCUUGAGUGCAGUUGAGGUAGGCGGAAUGCGUGGUGUAGCGGUGAAAUGCUUAGAUAUCACGAAGAACUCCGAUUGCGAAGGCAGCUUACUAAACUGCCACUGACAUUGAGGCUCGAAAGUGUGGGUAUCAAACAGGAUUAGAUACCCCGGUAGUC
rnacentral:rRNA from 1 species